UUCGUAGCUCAGUCGGUAGAGCAAAGGACUGAAAAUCCUUGUGUCACAGGUUCGAUUCCUGUCGGAGC
rnacentral:tRNA from 2 species